GAGGACCUUUACCUAGUAUGAGAGGACCGAGAAGGACACACCUCUGGUGUACCAGUUAUCGUGCCCACGGUAAAUACUGGGUAGCCAAGUGCGGAGCGGAUAACUGCUGAAUCAACCAAAACCUGCAACAGAGUCCUUAAUU
rnacentral:ncRNA from 1 species